CCUACGGUCGGCAGCAGUCGAGAAUCAUUCACAAUGGGGGAAACCCUGAUGGUGCGACGCCGCGUGGGGGAAUGAAGGUCUUCGGAUUGUAAACCCCUGUCAUGUGGGAGCAAAUUAAAAAGAUAGUACCACAAGAGGAAGAGACGGCUAACUCUGUGCCAGCAGCCGCGGUAAUACAGAGGUCUCAAGCGUUGUUCGGAAUCACUGGGCGUAAAGCGUGCGUAGGCUGUUUCGUAAGUCGUGUGUGAAAGGCGCGGGCUCAACCCGCGGACGGCACAUGAUACUGCGAGACUAGAGUAAUGGAGGGGGAACCGGAAUUCUCGGUGUAGCAGUGAAAUGCGUAGAUAUCGAGAGGAACACUCGUGGCGAAGGCGGGUUCCUGGACAUUAACUGACGCUGAGGUACGAAGGCCAGGGGAGCGAAAGGGAUUAGAUACCCCUGUAGUC
rnacentral:rRNA from 1 species